AGCAACAACAACAGCAGCUUUUUCAGCAGCUCCAGCUCUAGUAGCAACAGUUCCAGAGUGAAUAGCAACAGCAACUGUAGCAGUUUCAGAGGGAGCAGUAGCAACAGCAGGAAAUAGUUCCUGAAAUAGUAUUUGGAGUCAAGACAGAUCCCCACCCCAGUUGAAUAAUAUAGGAAUUGCCAGACUGGAUCAAAGCAGUGGUCCAUCUGGGCCAGACUCUUUUCAUAAAGUGACCAAUAACAGCAGCUGAAGAGUAAGAUGGAUAAAACCCCAUGGAGAAAAAAUUAUUGGAUAGCUUUCUCCUGCUGAAACUUUUCCAUUUUCCUUCCUUGUGCUUUAAUAUUUCCUGUUAUAACUGUAGAUAUUGUCAUCUAAGUAAUCUUACUUUAAAUCCUGGUGAGUUCUGGCUUCAGUAAUAAUAUGCAGCUACUAUGCCUAUCCUUUAAGGAUUUAAAAAAAUUGUAAAUAGUGUGUUAACAAUUCACCUUAAAUUUGAACAUGUCCUUGCACUCUUUGGUUUAGAUGCGAUUGGUUGUAUUAAUGUCAAAAUAUUGGGAGAAGUUGCUUCUUUGGUAUUUCUAUCUCGAGCAAGUAACUGCUUCUUGUGAAACAUCCAGGCUCAGUUUUACAGAAUUAAUUCGCCUGGAUAUUUCAAAUAAGCUGAGAUGAGGUCAAGACAGAACCUCUCUAAGGUCAAUGGCACAGAGCAUCUCUAGCCUGCUGAUUUAAUAUCAAGGCAUAAGUUUCUGUGUAUUUACUGGCUCUGGAAUUCUAGCUUUUGGGACCAAUGUCAAUACUAUCAAAUGACGUCAUCUGUGUUCAUCUGUCCUGAACAGAGAUGAAAAAUUGACCCUGGCAAAAAGAAAAGGUGAUAUUAUUUUUGGAAUACUGAAUAUGGAUACUUAAAAAAGUUACAAGAAUUUCAGUUGCCAUAAUAUAAAUACCUUGGUAUGGAUUGCACAAUAAAAAAUGUGCUGUCAAUUUUUGAACGAGGACUGCUUGUACAAAUUGUUGAUUUGACUCAAAGGCUUUUUGGGUUUUUUUUUUCUGGUGGACCUUGUACAUAAUCCAAUACAGCUUGGCUGUUUUAGGACUGAUAACAUUCUUCACUGGCUCCUUUUAAAUCUUAAGAAGGGAGCUGUAAUGAGCUGAAAUGAUCGUAAUAAGAGAGAGAUAUUAAGAAAAGAGGUAGGUUUAAACAGAGAAAUUGGCAGGGUUACUUCUUUUCUUUUCUUCUGAAGUAGUCUGUGAUAGUUAUGGGAAGUAUUAUACCAACAGCAAAAGAAUACAGAUUACACAUCGCUCCUAACAUUUUAUCCAUUAAAGAAAACAAAAGAGAACUGAGCAAAACAUCGAAAAUAUCUAGAAAUACCAAUUGAAUUGAUUAAACAAUAUUGCAACCUUUUCUUUGCUUUGUUUCUUUAUUCUGCAUUUUCUGAGAGGAGUUUAAUGAUUGGUUUGUGUGAAAACAUCAUAUUUUAAGGGAGAAUUAAGAGAAUAUUCAUAGACAGUGAAGUGUGAACUUGUAAAUGUGAAAUUGUGCUUAAAGCCUGAUUCUUAGUUUUACAAGAUGUGCUCAUGCUAUGAGCAGCCUUACCUAAUGUUCAUGUUCAUAAUAAAAUACUUUCUUUUACA